rnacentral:rRNA from 1 species
UACGUAGGGGGCGAGCGUUAUCCGGAUUUAUUGGGCGUAAAGGGUGCGUAGACGGUUUAUUAAGUUUAAAAUAAAAGCCCGAAGCUUAACUUCGGUUCGUUUUAAAAACUGGUAGACUUGAGUAUAGUAGAGGCAAGUGGAAUUUCUAGUGUAGCGGUUAAAUGCGUAGAUAUUAGAAGGAACACCAGUGGCGAAGGCGACUUGCUGGGCUAUUACUGACGUUGAGGCACGAAAGCGUGGGGAGCAAAUA